CCUACGGGAGGCAGCAGUAGGGAAUUUUCCACAAUGGGCGAAAGCCUGAUGGAGCAACGCCGCGUGGGUGAAGAAGGUCUUCGGAUCGUAAAACCCUGUUGUUAGAGAAGAAAGUGCGUGAGAGUAACUGUUCACGUUUCGACGGUAUCUAACCACAACGCCACGGCUAACGACGUGCCCGCAGCCGCGGUGAUACGUAGGUGGCAAGCGUUAUCCGGAUUGAUUGGGCGUAAAGGGAACGCAGGCGGUCUUUUAAGGCUGAUGUGAAAGCCCUCGGCCUAACCGGAGUAGUGCAUUGGAAACUGGGAGACUUGAGUGCAGAAGAGGAGAGUGGAACUCCAUGUGUAGCGGUGAAAUGCGUAGAUAUAUGGAAGAACACCAGUGGCGAAGGCGGCUCUCUGGUCUGUAACUGACGCUGAGGUUCGAAAGCGUGGGUAGCAAACAGGAUUAGAUACCCGAGUAGUC
rnacentral:rRNA from 1 species